CCUACGGGUGGCAGCAGUGAGGAAUAUUGGUCAAUGGGCGAGAGCCUGAACCAGCCAAGUCGCGUGAGGGAGUACUGCCCUAUGGGUUGUAAACCUCUUUUGUCGGGGAGCAAAAGCCGGACGUGUCCGGCUGUGAGAGUACCCGAAGAAAAAGCAUCGGCUAACUCCGUGCCAGCAGCCGCGGUAAUACGGAGGAUGCGAGCGUUAUCCGGAUUUAUUGGGUUUAAAGGGUGCGCAGGCGGAUUUUUAAGUCAGCGGUAAAAUCGUGGGGCUCAACCCCAUCCAGCCGUUGAAACUGGGGAUCUAGAGUGUGCGAGAGGUAUGCGGAAUGCGUGGUGUAGCGGUGAAAUGCAUAGAUAUCACACAGAACCCCGAUUGCGAAGGCAGCAUACCGGUGCACAACUGACGCUCAGGCACGAAAGCGUGGGUAUCGAACAGGAUUAGAUACCCUUGUAGUC
rnacentral:rRNA from 1 species